rnacentral:tRNA from 1 species
UCCGCCAUGGUGUAACGGCAGCACACAGGCCUUUGGAGCCUAUAGUCUAGGUUCGAAUCCUAGUGGCGGAG